AAGCGGUGGAUUAUGUGGAUUAAUUCGAUGCAACGACGAAAACCUUACCUACCCUUGACAUGUCCUGAAGCCUGGAGAGAUCCGGGUGUGCCCGAAAGGGAACGGGAACACAGGUGCUGCAUGGCUGUCGUCAGCUCGUGUCGUGAGAUGUUGGGUUAAGUCCCGCAACGAGCGCAACCCUUGUCAUUAGUUGCUACAUUUGGUUGGGCACUCUAAUGAGACUGCCGGUGACAAACCGGAGGAAGGUGGGGAUGACGUCAAGUCCUCAUGGCCCUUAUGGGUAGGGCUUCACACGUAAUACAAUGGCGCGUACAGAGGGUUGCCAAGCCGCGAGGUGGAGCCAAUCCCAGAAAGCGCGUCGUAGUCCGGAUUGCAGUCUGCAACUCGACUGCAUGAAGUCGGAAUCGCUAGUAAUCGCGGAUCAGCAUGUCGCGGUGAAUACGUUCCCGGGUCUU
rnacentral:rRNA from 1 species